AGAGUUUGAUCAUGGCUCAGAGCGAACGCUGGCGGCAGGCUUAACACAUGCAAGUCGAGCGGGCGUAGCAAUACGUCAGCGGCAGACGGGUGAGUAACGCGUGGGAACAUACCUCUUGGUUCGGAACAACACAGGGAAACUUGUGCUAAUACCGGAUAAGCCCUUACGGGGAAAGAUUUAUCGCCGAGAGAUUGGCCCGCGUCUGAUUAGCUAGUUGGUAGGGUAACGGCCUACCAAGGCGACGAUCAGUAGCUGGUCUGAGAGGAUGAUCAGCCACAUUGGGACUGAGACACGGCCCAAACUCCUACGGGAGGCAGCAGUGGGGAAUAUUGGACAAUGGGGGCAACCCUGAUCCAGCCAUGCCGCGUGAGUGAUGAAGGCCCUAGGGUUGUAAAGCUCUUUUGUGCGGGAAGAUAAUGACGGUACCGCAAGAAUAAGCCCCGGCUAACUUCGUGCCAGCAGCCGCGGUAAUACGAAGGGGGCUAGCGUUGCUCGGAAUCACUGGGCGUAAAGGGUGCGUAGGCGGGUCUUUAAGUCAGGGGUGAAAUCCUGGAGCUCAACUCCAGAACUGCCUUUGAUACUGAAGAUCUUGAGUUCGGGAGAGGUGAGUGGAACUGCGAGUGUAGAGGUGAAAUUCGUAGAUAUUCGCAAGAACACCAGUGGCGAAGGCGGCUCACUGGCCCGAUACUGACGCUGAGGCACGAAAGCGUGGGGAGCAAACAGGAUUAGAUACCCUAGUAGUCC
rnacentral:rRNA from 1 species